rnacentral:rRNA from 1 species
UCGACUUCGGAAGGGGUGUAUUUAUUAGAUAAAAAACCAAUGCCCUUCGGGGCUCCUUGGUGAUUCAUAAUAACUUAACGAAUCGCAUGGCCUUGCGCCGGCGAUGGUUCAUUCAAAUUUCUGCCCUAUCAACUUUCGAUGGUAGGAUAGUGGCCUACCAUGGUUUCAACGGGUAACGGGGUAUUAGGGUACUAUACCGGAGAGGGAGCCUGAGAAACGGCUACCACAUCCAAGGAAGGCAGCAGGCGCGCAAAUUACCCAAUCCCGACACGGGGAGGUAGUGACAAUAAAUACUGAUACAGGGCUCUUUUGGGUCUUGUAAUUGGAAUGAGUACAAUUUAAAUCCCUUAACGAGGAACAAUUGGAGGGCAAGUCUGGUGAACCUCAGCCCUGCUGACGCCAGUGAGAGUGCUAAGCUAGUCCUACGGGGCAACACACCCAAUGUGCGGGGACGCCAUCCCAGGCAAUCCGCAGCUCCUACCCGGAGUUCAGAGGCUCGAUAGGUGUGGGCCGAGAGGCUUAAGAUAGAGUCCACUCAGGGGUGCCACCCCCUGAAGUCAGUGGCCAGCAGCCGCGGUAAUUCCAGCUCCAAUAGCGUAUAUUAAAGUUGUUGCAGUUAAAAAGCUCGUAGUUGAACCUUGGGCCUGGCUGGCCGGUCCGCCUCACCGCGUGCACUGGUCCGGCCGGGCCUUUCCUUCUGGGGAGCCGCAUGCCCUUCACUGGGUGUGUCGGGGAACCAGGACUUUUACUUUGAAAAAAUUAGAGUGUUCAAAGCAGGCCUAUGCUCGAAUACAUUAGCAUGGAAUAAUAGAAUAGGACGUGUGGUUCUAUUUUGUUGGUUUCUAGGACCGCCGUAAUGAUUAAUAGGGACAGUCGGGGGUGUCAGUAUUGCGUUGUCAGAGGUGAAAUUCUUGGAUUUACGCAAGACUAACUACUGCGAAAGCAUUCACCAAGGAUGUUUUCAUUAAUCAGUGAACGAAAGUUAG